rnacentral:rRNA from 1 species
CGGCAUAAAACGUGUUUAGGAUCACCUAACAAUAAAGUUAAACCAAAACCAAGCCGUAAAAAGCUACAGUUGAAAUAAAAACCCCAACGAAAGUGACUUUAAUAUAUCUGAAUACACUAUAGCUAGGACCCAAACUGGGAUUAGAUACCCCACUAUGCCUAGCCCUAAACUAAAACAUUUUAUUAACCAAAAUGUCUGCCAGAGUACUACCAGCAACAGCUAGAAACUUAAAGGACUUGACGGUACUUCACACCCCCCUAGAGGAACCUGUCCUAUAAACGACAAACCCCGAUUAACCUCACCACCCCUUGCUAACACAGCCUAUAUACCGCCAUCUCCAGCAAACCUUAAAAAGCACCGCAGUAAGCACAAUUACUACUCAUAAAUACGUUAGGUCAAGGUGUAGCCUACGAGGUGGAAAGAGAUGGGUUACAUUUUCUCACAAGAGAAAAUUCACAGAAAUCUCUGUGAAAUUUCAGAGAUCGAAGAAGGAUUUAGAAGUAAGCUAAGAACAGAGAGCUUAAC